CCUACGGGUGGCAGCAGUGAGGAAUAUUGGUCAAUGGACGAGAGUCUGAACCAGCCAAGUAGCGUGAAGGAUGACUGCCCUAUGGGUUGUAAACUUCUUUUAUAUGGGAAUAAAGUGAUCCACGUGUGGGAUUUUGUAUGUACUAUAUGAAUAAGGAUCGGCUAACUCCGUGCCAGCAGCCGCGGUAAUACGGAGGAUCCGAGCGUUAUCCGGAUUUAUUGGGUUUAAAGGGAGCGUAGGUGGAUUGUUAAGUCAGUUGUGAAAGUUUGCGGCUCAACCGUAAAAUUGCAUUUGAUACUGGCAGUCUUGAGUACAGUAGAGGUGGGCGGAAUUCGUGGUGUAGCGGUGAAAUGCUUAGAUAUCACGAAGAACUCCGAUUGCGAAGGCAGUUCACUGGACUGCAACUGACACUGAGGCUCGAAAGUGUGGGUAUCAAACAGGACUAGAUACCCCUGUAGUC
rnacentral:rRNA from 1 species